rnacentral:snRNA from 1 species
UCGUUUUCGCCUAAAAUAUUCCA